CCCCCAAUAACAGGUGCACAUUCCUGGGCGCCUCGUCACUUCCCCUGCACUGGUUGUCUCAGCGGCUCAUCCAGCGAACUCACUGAGUAAGGCGGGCUGGCUAUGACCCCAGGGGCGCUUCUGGUGCUGCUGCUGGGGGCGGUGGGGGCGCCGCUUGCCCCGGGAGCCCUCGGCUCGGAGGCGGAGGGCCGACUCCGCGAGAAACUUUUCUCGGGCUAUGAUAGCUCCGUGCGCCCGGCGCGGGAGGUGGGAGACCGCGUCGGGGUCAGCAUUGGUCUCAGCCUGGCGCAACUCAUCAGCCUGAACGAGAAGGAUGAGGAGAUGAGCACGAAGGUCUACUUAGAUUUGGAGUGGACUGACUACAGGCUGAGCUGGGACCCUGCGGAGCACGAGGGCAUCGAUUCACUCCGCAUCACCGCUGGCUCCGUGUGGCUACCAGACGUGGUGCUCCUCAACAACAAUGACGGAAAUUUUGACGUGGCUCUGGACAUCAACGUCGUGGUGUCCUCCGACGGCUCCGUGCGCUGGCGGCCCCCGGGCAUCUAUCGAAGCAGCUGCAGCAUCCAGGUCACCUACUUCCCCUUUGACUGGCAGAACUGCACCAUGGUGUUCAGUUCCUACAGCUAUGACAGCUCGGAGGUCAGCCUGCAGACCGGCUUGGGUCCCGACGGGCAGGAGCGGCAGGAAGUGCACAUUCAUGAAGGGACCUUCAUUGAGAAUGGCCAAUGGGAGAUUAUCCACAAGCCUUCUCGGCUAAUCCAGCCUCCAGCAGAUCCUAGGGGAGGAGGGGAAGGACGGCGGGAAGAAGUCACCUUCUACCUCAUCAUUCGCCGGAAGCCUCUCUUCUACCUGGUCAACGUCAUUGCCCCAUGCAUCCUCAUCACCAUCCUGGCCAUCUUCGUCUUCUACCUGCCACCAGAUGCAGGAGAGAAGAUGGGGCUCUCGAUCUUUGCCCUGCUGACGCUCACUGUGUUCCUGCUGCUGCUGGCAGACAAAGUGCCUGAGACCUCCCUGUCUGUCCCCAUCAUCAUCAAGUACCUCAUGUUUACCAUGGUCCUCGUCACCUUCUCAGUCAUCCUUAGCGUCGUAGUCCUCAACCUGCACCAUCGCUCACCCCACACCCACCAAAUGCCCCUUUGGGUCCGUCAGGUGAGAAAAUCGACUCCAACCUGUGUGUUAACUCUCCAUCCUAGCAUUUGGCUUUCUGUCCAGGUAUCGCUCCUCCCUCCCACCAACGUCCACCUUCCCUUUCAAGGAUCUGAGGGAGAGUCUACAACUCCUGGUAGAGUGUCAAAGUGCCAAGGCCUUUGGGUGUUGAAAUGUUGCACCAUUAAUUUUAUCCUCCCAUUAUUAUCAUUGCAUAGAUCCCAGACUCUCUUCAUUAAUACUGCCCAUCGUGGGUCCCAGGGAAGCAUUCUCAGGGUUAGGUACUGUCAGGGUGGAAGCCCUCAGAAGUUCCUUUGCAGUCAGGAUGCCUCCCAACCCACUUCAGAACUCUUGGGCUGUGGUUGCAUUUCAUCCGUGGGCCGGAUGCUGGCAUGCACAGGAAUGGACAUGUGGAGUCGGGUGGUUGGCGGCUUCCCUUUGGGUCUGACAGCAUGAGAGCCCCUCCAACACGCCUUUUCUUCUGCUCUGCAGAUCUUCAUCCUUAAACUCCCUCUGUACCUGGGCCUGAAGAGGCCCAAACCUGAGAGAGACCAGAUGCCGGAACCACCUCCUGUAGCCCUCAGGGAUUCUCCAGGAAGUGGCUGGGGUCGGGGAACCGAUGAAUAUUUCAUCCGCAAGCCGCCAAAUGAUUUUCUCUUCCCCAAACCCAACAGGUAGUAUCCACUCCCCAUCGCUCACCUAGAAGGGAGAGGGAGAACUACAAUUCCCAGAAGAUCGUGCGGAGGCAGGCGGCCUAAGCUCCUGGAGGAUACUGUGGUUGAGCAUCAUGGGAGUUGUAGUAGUUCUUCUGUUGCCCACUUUGCGGAGAGGUGAUUCCAGCCUGAACUAUCUGCCCCGGACCCGCGGCGAUUUGUCGAUGGUCCAAACCGGGCUGUGGGCCUGCCUCCCGAGCUGCGGGAGGUCGUUUCCUCGAUCAGCUACAUCGCUCGACAGCUGCAGGAACAGGAGGACCACGACGCGCUGAAGGAGGAUUGGCAAUUUGUGGCCAUGGUAGUGGACCGCCUCUUCCUGUGGACCUUCAUCAUCUUCACGAGCGUCGGGACCCUCGUCAUCUUUCUGGAUGCCACAUACCACUUGCCACCUGCCGACCCCUUUCCCUGAGGCUGCGAGGGCCGAGACUCAGGUCCUUGGCCAGCUGAAUUGAGAGUCGGGCAGUACUCUCAAGUCCUAGCCCUUUUUGCAUCCUAACUCCUUCAGUAGAAAUCCAGGCUUCUCAUUAGUUCGUUUCUAGGGAGGAAGCCUAAGUGGGACUGGACAGAUGGGGGGCUGGGGCCCACUUGAAACGCACUAUCUGGUCGUUUACUCUUUAGCUUCUUGAAGAAGCUCCUUUGAAUAUUUACAUCUGGGUUCGCGGUGCGUGGAACAAAGAGCAAGAACUAGACUGUAAGCCUUCUGAGGGCAGGACCUAUGUCUCAUUCACUGUAAUAUCUCCAGCACCUAGCGCAAGUCUUAACCUAUAUAGUAGGUGCUUCACAUUGGCCGUAUGAAUAGGGACAUUUCUUUUCCUAUAAGGAGAUACACUAAGUAGUAGAGUUUAUGUUUGCAUGUUGGGACAAGUGGUCAUUUUUUUCUUUGUUUUUACGAUUCUGUAGUUUGUUGUAUUUUGUAAUAAGCAUUAUCUUUAGGAUGAAAAAAAGGUUGUUUUUUUAAAGGGUGCGUUUGUAAUGAGGAUACAAAAAGCUCACUUUAUAAGCUUCAGGUUCCAGCUUUGGUACUCAAACUUUGGACAAGUUACUAAACUGCCGUGCCUCAGUUUUCCCACCUAUAAAAUGAAGCUCAUAAUAGUAUCUGCCCCCUAGUCUGAGGAUCAUUUGAGAAGAUGGGAAACAAAAGCAUCAUGAAGGAGUUCCCUGGUGGCACAGUGGAUUAAGGAUCCAGCGUUGUCACUGCUGUGGCUCCAGUUGCUGGCCGUGGCGUGGGUUUGAUUCCUGGUCUGGGGAUUUCUGUAUGCUGUGGGCGCAGCUCCAACUUCCCAAAAGCAUCGCGCGGUAUGCAUCAGAGGUUGCAAACUGGUGUGUUUUGUUUGGUCCAUACUGUUGACCGGCAGAAUGUUCAAUUUGACUUGGUUUGCUGCUUUUAAAAUGUGGAUAUUUCUUGGAGAAAUUUGGAUUUCUGGCUUCUCUGGAAGAUUUUUCAGAACUACAGAAACACCAGCUCUGAUUCCCCUUUUGGCAGCCCCCUGCUAGAGCUGAUUAGCGGCUGCCCACUCUGGUCAAGGUAUUUGUACCAGAAUUCAUCAAAGCCCCCACCCUCACUAGCUUCACUCAUGUUACAUGCAGACCCCUGCGUAACACUAGACAAAAUACAGGGGAGGGGAGGGGAGGCAAGGAAAUGAAGCCCCUGGGAGGCUAGCAGUGGAACAAGAAAAGGCUGUUGGUGGGGGGAGUUCUCUGGUGGUCUAGUGGUUAGGAUUCGGCACUUUCACCGCUGCAGCCCAGAGAUCUCAGUUCUCUGGUUCUGGGGCACUGAGCCCCCACGUUAAGCUGCUACAGCCAAGAAAACCCAAAAGGGUAUUGGUGUCUCUUAUGGCCAUCACACAUUUUGUGCCUCAGUUUUCUUUCAAUUUGGCCCUGGUUGAAGGCAGAGCCUUUCAGGGACAUGAAGAUCUCGCAGUGCCCAGCAGGCUGUGUGAACUGGACUGGGUUAACGUUUCUGCCUGGAGGUCAGAGUAAAGUCAGCUGCAGCAAUUACUGUAAAGACCCUUGGGUCGACAAGCUCUCACACCUACUCAGUGGCUGGAAGUUGUCGUCCUAAGAGGGAGAACAGGGCUUCGACCCUCAGGGAUCCCUGUGGGACAAGGGUAGCGUGUCCCUGUCCAGCCAGCCCCACCAACCACGCCAAUAAUUGCACCUGGCAUCCCACUGCGGAGCACAGUUUGUUUGUCUUGUUGGUUUAUUGGCCUAGAGAGUUGGACACACACACAAAUGCGGAGAUAAAUAUUGGUCAGUUUCUCUAAAUCUGGGUCCUCACUACGUAUAGAGCUAGAGUCUGUAGAAUUCUAAAUCUUGCGUGCUGUGGCACAGAACCAGUGGCUUUCCCACUCCACCGUCACCCUUCUUCCCAGGGAACAUGGGGAAAGAGGGCACAAGCUGACAAGACUUGAUAGAUUUCAAAA